GUGCAGCAGAUCCUGCAGGGGGCGCUCUGGGGCCUCAGUGUUCAGGAAGUAGUGGAAUCCAAAAAGUGUUCCUCCCAUCAUUUGGUGAAGCUUCCACGGAGGGUCAGUCCACCCACGGAGAGCGGGGAAAGCACAGCAGGCGAAACGGGCUGCGAGUAAUUCUUGGUUCAUAACAACAGAGCUCAUUGGUUUGAUCUCUACGAUUUC